rnacentral:lncRNA from 1 species
GCUAUGGGUCUGCUAUGGGGCACCAAACCCCCCCCCACACCUGCUAUGGGGCAGCCAUGGGUCCGCUAUAGGGCACUAUGGGGCAGUUAUGGGACCCCCAACACCCUCCCCAGGGUGCUAUGGGGCAGUUUUGGGACCCCAAAGCCCCCCCAGGGCGCUAUGGGUCCGCUAUGGGUCCGCUAUGGGGCAGCCAUGGGACACUAUAGGGCAGCUAUGGGUCCGGCCCUCACUCCCCGGGGGGCACGGGCAGGGGGGGCCCUCGGGGGUCGUCGAAGCGAUCCAUGGGGCGCAGCCCCAGCAGCAGGGCCCCCCCCCCUGCGCCAGCGCCGCCAGCAGCAGCCCCCCCACCACCAG